CAGGGAGGAACUUAAAGGAACACUGUAGUCACUAUAAGCAUUUCAUCUCUGUGAAUUGGUUAUAGUGCCCUGCCAUUGUCCCUCCAUUCAGUGUUGAACCAUGUUCGUGCAGUAUUCCACAAAAUAAGAGUCCCUGGCCACCCACAGUCCAGCCCCUUCAGUAUGUGUAGCUAAGGCAGAGAUUACACACUUCCUUGUUGUCAUACCC